UGAUCAUGGCUCAGGAUGAACGUUGGCGGCGUGCCUAACACAUGCAAGUCGAACGCAAAUAGCAAUAUUUGAGUGGCGCACGGGUGAGUAACACGUAGCUUACCUCCCUCCAAGCGUGGGAUAACGGCUCGAAAGAGCUGCUAAUACCGCAUAAGCUCACGAGCUAUAGAGGCUUGCGAGAAAAGGGGCAACUCACUUGGAGACGGGGCUGCGGCCCAUCAGCUAGUUGGCGAGGUAAAGGCUCACCAAGGCGACGACGGGUAGGGGACCUGAGAGGGUGACCCCCCACACUGGGACUGAGACACGGCCCAGACUCCUACGGGAGGCAGCAGUGAGGAAUAUUGCACAAUGGGCGCAAGCCUGAUGCAGCGACGCCGCGUGAGUGAAGAAGGCCUUCGGGUCGUAAAGCUCUUUUCUGCGUGACGAGCAAGGACGGUAGCGCAGGAAUAAGUCUCGGCUAACUACGUGCCAGCAGCCGCGGUAAAACGUAGGAGACAAACGUUAUCCGGAGUUACUGGGCGUAAAGGGCGUGUAGGCGGUUUGUUAAGUCUGGCGUGAAAGCUCUCGGCUAAACCGGGAGAGGUCGUUGGAUACUGGCAAACUUGAGGAUGGUAGAGGCGUGUGGAAUUCCGGGUGUAGUGGUGAAAUGCGUAGAGAUCCGGAGGAACACCAGUGGCGAAGGCGACACGCUGGGCCGUACCUGACGCUAAAGCGCGACAGCAUGGGGAGCAAACGGGAUUAGAAACCCCGGUAGUCCAUGCCGUAAACGAUGUCAGCUAGGUGUUCAAGACGCGCAAGCGGCUGGGGUACCGAAGCAAACGCGAUAAGCUGACCGCCUGGGGAGUACGGUCGCAAGGCUAAAACUCAAAGGAAUUGACGG
rnacentral:rRNA from 1 species